rnacentral:rRNA from 1 species
GUAGGGGGCGAGCGUUGUUCGGAAUUAUUGGGCGUAAAGGGUACGUAGGCGGCUCGUUAAGUUUGGCGUUAAAUUCCGGGGCUCAACCCCGGCAAGCGUUGAAAACUGGCGAGCUUGAGUAGUAGAGGGGACAGUGGAAUUCCUAGUGUAGCGGUGAAAUGCGUAGAGAUUAGGAAGAAUACCGGUGGCGAAGGCGACUGUCUGGAUACAUACUGACGCUGAGGUACGAAAGCGUGGGGAGCAAACAGGAUUAGAUACCCUGGUAGUCCACGCCCUAAACGAUGAGUGCUAGGUGUCGGGAGUCAAAUCUCGGUGCCGCCGUUAACACAGUAAGCACUCCGCCUGGGGAGU